rnacentral:rRNA from 1 species
GACGAACGCUGGCGGCGUGCUUAACACAUGCAAGUCGAACGGAAAGGCCCUGCUUUUGUGGGGUACUCGAGUGGCGAACGGGUGAGUAACACGUGAGUAACCUGCCCUUGACUUUGGGAUAACUUCAGGAAACUGGGGCUAAUACCGGAUAGGAGCUCCUGCUGCAUGGUGGGGGUUGGAAAGUUUCGGCGGUUGGGGAUGGACUCGCGGCUUAUCAGCUUGUUGGUGGGGUAGUGGCUUACCAAGGCUUUGACGGGUAGCCGGCCUGAGAGGGUGACCGGCCACAUUGGGACUGAGAUACGGCCCAGACUCCUACGGGAGGCAGCAGUGGGGAAUAUUGCACAAUGGGCGGAAGCCUGAUGCAGCAACGCCGCGUGCGGGAUGACGGCCUUCGGGUUGUAAACCGCCUUCGCCUGUGACGAAGCGUGAGUGACGGUAAUGGGUAAAGAAGCACCGGCUAACUACGUG